rnacentral:tRNA from 1 species
GCCGCACAGGCCGAAGUGGUUCAAGGCGCCAGGCUUCCACCCUGGAGGAGCGGGUUCGACUCCCGCGUGCGGCU